UAGUGGCGAACGGGUGAGUAACACGUGGGCAAUCUGCCCUUCACUCUGGGACAAGCCCUGGAAACGGGGUCUAAUACCGGAUAUCACUCCUGCAGGCAUCUGCGGGAGUCGAAAGCUCCGGCGGUGAAGGAUGAGCCCGCGGCCUAUCAGCUUGUUGGUGAGGUAAUGGCUCACCAAGGCGACGACGGGUAGCCGGCCUGAGAGGGCGACCGGCCACACUGGGACUGAGACACGGCCCAGACUCCUACGGGAGGCAGCAGUGGGGAAUAUUGCACAAUGGGCGAAAGCCUGAUGCAGCGACGCCGCGUGAGGGAUGACGGCCUUCGGGUUGUAAACCUCUUUCAGCAGGGAAGAAGCGAAAGUGACGGUACCUGCAGAAGAAGCGCCGGCUAACUACGUGCCAGCAGCCGCGGUAAUACGUAGGGCGCAAGCGUUGUCCGGAAUUAUUGGGCGUAAAGAGCUCGUAGGCGGCUUGUCACGUCGGGUGUGAAAGCCCGGGGCUUAACCCCGGGUCUGCAUUCGAUACGGGCUAGCUAGAGUGUGGUAGGGGAGAUCGGAAUUNCUGGUGUAGCC
rnacentral:rRNA from 1 species